UACGUAGGGUGCGAGCGUUAAUCGGAAUUACUGGGCGUAAAGCGUGCGCAGGCGGGCUUUUAAGCCAGACGUGAAAUCCCCGGGCUUAACCUGGGAAUGGCGUUUGGGACUGGGAGUCUGGAGUGCGGCAGAGGAGACUGGAAUUCCUGGUGUAGCAGUGAAAUGCGUAGAUAUCAGGAGGAACACCGAUGGCGAAGGCAGGUCUCUGGGCUGACACUGACGCUCAUGCACGAAAGCGUGGGGAGCGAAACA
rnacentral:rRNA from 1 species